rfam:Camelus ferus unplaced genomic scaffold scaffold56579, whole genome shotgun sequence.
GAAGUUAUAGCUUCGUGGUAGAGCAUGUGCCUAGAAUGCACAGCGUCCUGGGUUCAAUCCCCAGUACCUCCA